AUGUGGAUCCAGCAUGGAUUGGGUACCCCACAAAGCAGAGGCUGCCGGUGCACCCCACAUUCCCCACAGAGCGUGGCUUCAUGCUACACAACCCCACGCCCUGCCCCACAUGGCCCCACAAGCACAGCCCCACACCCUGGCCCCCAUAGCACUGCAGGGAACACGGCCCCACACCCUGCCCCACAUGUCCCCACAAGCACAGCCCCAGCCCUGCCCUGCAUGCCCCCAUGCACCGCAGCCCGGUGCCCCCCAGCCUGCCCCGUGUCCCCGGCACCACGUGCGGGACUCGUUCCCAGCAGAAGCGCCAAAACGCAUCGUAAAACUUGGCUACAGAAAUGCAGUAAAUCAGUACAGGCUGUAACCCCUGCCUGGGGACAACCCCAAAAUGUGCAGUCCCCAGUGGUGGCAGGUCAGAGGCAGAGCACAGCACAUCACCUGCAGCGGGCUGUGAAGCGCUCCCUGGGCAGCCGAACCGGGGAGACGCCUGUGACCCCACCCACAGCUGGACAGAGCCUUUUUGCGGCGCCACACGUUAUCUGUUUAACCAUUUCCACACCUUACCCUGCCGGGCUGAGGGGACAGCCAGUCUCUGAGGAAGAGCCUCUUGCCCCUUUCGCCUGCCCAAAGCACAGGAUAGGAAGCUCGGGGAGAGCAGAGGACGAGCCGGCAGCGCAGAGCCCCAGGGCUGUGUGCUACCCCCGGCUCCCGCUGAGCCUGGACACAACUCAGUGCACACAUGGCUCAGGGACAGGCUCAGGACUGAGCAAGGUCCUGGUGACCACAGGUGAUCUCCAGCUCCACCAGGGCCAGACUGCCUCGAGCACGGGACCGCACAUCCCCACGACCUCGCAGGCCGGGGCUGACCCUGUGCCCUGCCCUCGGGAGUGUCGCAGCAGCGAGGCACCCUUGGCCUUGAUUAGGUCACAGUGCCACCAGAACAACCUCAUGUCAGCCUGGGAAAUGUCACCUUUUGGGUCCCUUCAGGCCAAGCAAAGGCACAUUCAUCACUCUCCACCAUCUCCUCCCAGCACCACUGCAGCUCCCGUGAUGCCAAACACCUCCUUGCUGCAGUUGGAUGUCGUGGUUCUUCCUGCCGCUUACUUGACCAGGAUUUUGGGUUAUUCAGGUCAUCGCUCCUGUGGCCGACAGGGUCCUGCCCCACAGCAGUGCCCUGCCCCGUUCCCCACACUCCCUGUGCCGCUCUGGGAUGUGGCUGUCCCAGAGCUGGUCCCCUCAAGCCGGGGGCCGCUGCCAGCGGCACUGCCGGGCUCUGUGCACGGCGCAGCACCGGAGCAAAGGAGCCUGGCGGGUGGCACUAGGGGGAGAUAA
rnacentral:lncRNA from 1 species